rnacentral:rRNA from 1 species
UACGUAGGCAGCAAGCGUUGUUCGGAGUUACUGGGCGUAAAGGGUGUGUAGGCGGUUAUUUAAGUUUGGUGUGAAAUCUCCCGGCUCAACCGGGAGGGUGCGCCGAAUACUGAAUGACUUGGAGUGCGGGAGAGGAAAGUGGAAUUCCUGGUGUAGCGGUGAAAUGCGUAGAUAUCAGGAGGAACACCGGUGGUGUAGACGGCCUUCUGGACCGUAACUGACGCUGAGACACGAAAGCGUGGGUAGCAAACAGG